GCGUUCAUGGUAUGGAGGCAUUCUGCAGAUCAAAUGAAAUGUUUUAGUGGUAGUUCCCCUCUUCAGCUCCCUUUGACUGAGAAGGAAAUCUAAAAGGCUGUAAGUGCCCAGUACAGGUCGACCUACAGGACUGACUUUCUUGGAUUACCUCAAGGAAUUAUGAAAAACCAUGCGACCUUUGCACCUUGUAACCGCAGCCAUGCUGUCCACUACUAUACCUAGACUGAAAUAAGACAUAACUACCACCCACCCAAACUGAAACUUGAGCUUCUGGGGAGCAACUCUCGCUAUGGGUGCAAUAAGCUGCAUGGUGUAGCAGCGAGGGGUAUUGGUAACCUGAGACUCAGGUGUGCUGUGUCUCUAAGCUCGGGGAGAUCUGUACGCAGCCAUAGCUCGUGCAGCAAAACAAGAAAGCAGCCUCUAAGGAGAACGAAAGCCAAGCCAAGAAGACGAGAGACUCUCUCAGAUCUCUCCAGAUAUGCCGCUAGGCAGGAAAAUUCGGGCCUCAUCUGCUGGAGCCCAACUUGAGACCCAUAACAAGCCCAGUUAUUUAGACUCGGCAGAGAGGAGCCAACAGCUUCCCGAUUGGCUGGAGAGAGAGCUUUUGAGGCAAGAACCCAGACGACACACUCUUACCCUGGGAGAUGUUGCUAAACUCAGCAUGCAUCAGUGCUACAGAGCAGAUCCUGUCGGCACCCUCUAUGGGCUCAAGGUAAAAGUCAAAGGGUCAUGCUUGUGCAGCAUCUGCUGCUUGGCUGCAUUUCCCAGCAAUUAUAUUCCACCUAGAUUGAAUGGCAACUUGCCCCAGCAUCAUCUUUCACCGGCCAAGGUAUGCAAAUUAAAUGUUAUAAUGAUAUACGAGGAGGUUGGGCAGCUGGACUGAGGUACUCCUCAAAUCCAUAAUAUUGCAUUUUAAAUUAGAGUCUAAUACAAUGCUUUAAUAUGUUUUUUUUUUAUGUUUUAUAUUAACUCAUAAAUUUAACCCCGCCCCCUCCUCAACAGACUCCGCCCCUCCUAUGAUUCUAAUCUUGUUGUUCUAACUGACCCGGCUGUAAACAGACCAUAAAGCAUCAACUUUAGGUACGUUACAAGGUGUACAAGUAUCUUUUAAUAUCUGCUCUUAACCAUAUCAUAUGCUGUGUAGACAAGCCAUUUAUUCUUCAAUAAGCAUUUUUUUAUGUCUCAAGUUUUGAUGUGGAUGUAACGAUAUUACAAUUGCCAUUUUAGUCAGACUCCUUUCAGUCUCCUGUCCUCAGGGUGUCAGUGGAGUAUAAUGGAUUACUCUUCCUAUAUCAAACAUUCAUUAAACAAACCAAAACCAAAUCAUGAACCUUUGCCUGAAAUGACAUUUUGAAUCUAGUACAGAAUCCAUUAAUUCAUUAGCUGGAUGACCUUUGGAUGGGCAAACAUUGCAGAGUAAUUUGUCAUGACUACCGAUCGGAUGAAAUGACACAGUAGAGAUGCAUCAUUUAUUUCAACAGAGUGCUUGAACUUGCACCCCAGUAAGCAAAUCAAUUACUUUUUCCUUAUCAAGCCCAAAAUUGUUCGUGCUGGAGGUAAUUUGCCAUCUGACUGCACACUGAAAUAGGCAUGAAAGUUAUAAUCUAUAUUUAUCACUGUAAAAGAGCAAGUAAGUACAAGAAGGGACACUGCUAACUACAUCUUUCAGUAGUGUGACAGUAGCUCAGCUGUUUUUAGUAAAUUGAAAUGUUCAUAUUGCUGUUUAAUGCAUUCAGCCUAAUUGUUUUUGUGGCAAAUGCAUUGCUUAUUAUCAAUUCCUAGGCCAACUGGGAAUGCUAAUUUACUUUGGGUUCCCUCUGUAAUGUCCUAUGGACUUUUAGAAUGAUGAUUUGUGAGUAAAUUAAGGUCUGUGAUUACUUGAAGAAACUUUUAAGUCUCAAAACUGAAUUUUGAAGCAGCAGCUGUUUUUUUCUUCUUCUUAACUUAAAGAAAUAAUUCACACACAAAAUAAAAUUAGCUGAAAAUUUAGUCA
ensembl:lncRNA